UUUAAAAAACCGAAGUAUAAACCAACCUUCCUCAAAACCAAACCUAAACAGCCGACACUACCCUCUCUGCCACGAGACAGCAUAAGCUCCGCCUAGGGAAGGGCAAUAUCGCCUUUGCAAACCGCUCAGAAGUUCACACCCCCGAGCUGCGAUGGGUGCGAGGCCGCGGGAGGAAGCCAAGUCCCCGAGGGCAGCCGAGCAGCUGCCGCUCCGCCCGCAGCGCCCCUGGCGCCGCCGCCUCUGCCGCAGCCUGACCGCCCCGCGUCCCGCCUCCCCCGUGCCGGGUGACCGCAAGGACUCGACUGAGGCUGCAGCGGGGCGUCGCAAAACGGGUAGACGAGGCCUUAACUGGGCAGCGAAGCCAUGGUCGCUGGAGAAAACAGUUCUGGGGCACAGUACGGCAAAGAGCUGCGUUUUCACUCACCUCAGAAUUUGCACAUGAAAAUCUCUGAAUCAAAAGAUCUUACAGAUUAGUUCUUCUUGGCAUCCCUUUAAGAGAGGUUAUUGUCUACUCUUGUUUUACAGGUGAGGCAACUGAGAUGAAGAAAAUUAAACUGACCUAUACAAAGUUACUCGAUUAUUGGCAGAGUUGAAAGCCCAGAGAGAAAAUCAUAGCUCCACUGAAGAGAAACCUAAAACUUUGAGAUGGUUCAGGAGGGCAAGAUUCUGCUACAAGUCUUCUAUUUGCACUGCUAAAAUAUUUUCCUUAACAUUUAAAAUAAGAACAGGAAUUGUAAUAUUUAAAGCUAUGAAAUGGAAGGCAGUAUUCGAACUUAUUUAUGCAAACAAUAGCCUUUCAAAAAACCUUAAACUGAGUCUGACAUUGAAAAAAAUUUGCAAACUGGACCAUAAUUCUUGCCUGCCAGAGAUAAAAGUAUGGUCUGAACUUCAGCUUGGGCUCAGCAAUGCCUCAAUUUUCAGUUCUGAGCCAGGACCCUGAUGGCAAUGCAGCUGCUCAGGUCUCUAGUAACAAUCACUAUCAACAAUGAAUGCAAACUUUGGAAUUGUCUUGAGCUAUACAACUAACCUGAUUUUUUUUGUGCGGUUUGAAAAAGAGGGGAUUAAUACAAAAUUAUGUUAGAAAGAAAAAUCUCUCGACUUUGAAAUAACAAUUUUUCUUAUGGGACUUAAUGAAAAAUUUCUACAUGUAAUAUGAAUUAUUUUGACAGGCUGUGAUGUUUGUGCUGGAAAUGUUACUGAAGGGACUCUAGAUGGGCUAUACUUUGGUCCUCCUUUGAAGCCAACAGCUUCACAUCCAUUGACUUCAAUCGGAACAAUAUUAUGGCAAGUAUCUUUCAUAACUGCUUUUAUUCUGUUUUUUCUUUAUGGAAGAUAUGUUUAUGCACUUGCAUUACCAGUUCAUCUGUUUGUCUGUCUUUGCAAUAACUUUUAACUGUAUUUAACAGAGGGUACUUGACUCAAAGAUACUAAAUCCUUAUAAGUUUCAUGAAAAUAAGAAUCUGGGUAGAAGACCCCAAGUCCUACUAAGGCAAAUGCAGAGAGAGACUGACCUUUAACCGUUCUGCUUGGUCUGCCCAACAGCCAAGAGGCAACAGCUUGUAUAUAGGAGCAAACUAACUGUGAAACCCUGGGCUAAUCACAGUAUGUUCCAUAUUGUAAAACCUUAAUUUUACAACUAGAGAUAAGGGGAUGUAAGGAAGGUAAAAUGACUAAAAUCUCAGAUUUUUACCAGAAAUCAAACUUGGCCGUUAGAUCUUUCAAUGGCAAUAUAUUUAUCCUGUAUUUGAUGGAGAACAAAUACAAAUCUUCCCCCUCAAGACUUAGAUCUCCUUUACUGACUUUCAGAUAGUUGCCCUCAUGGAAUAUGUUUGCCCCAUUGACAGUAUUAAAAAGUUUCAUUACUUGCUGACUCUUUUUUUCAUGAUCUCUACAUGUACAGCUGCUGAGUAGUUAAAAUAGUUCAAUGUGAACCAACAAAAUUCAUAAAGGAUAAGCCCUCAAUAGCCAUUAAGAACAAUAAUCAAAUGCAACUUCUUGCUUGAGAAAUUCUUGAUUUUCUUACUGGCAGAAGGGGGAAUAUGCCAGAAUCAGGAUGACUCUGCUCAUGCUCGUGCCUGUUUCUUCUGAGUGUCCCAUACUGGCUAAUGAUUGUUCUUUCUCAUUACUGCGGAAACAAUGCAAUACCAGGAACGGGCACAGGGCCAAAACCCAUCUCCACUCUCCAGAAUCCCACUGAAUAGUCACUACAUAGAGAACAUAUGAGACAUUAAACUGAAAAGAAUAGACACUAUACUGGGUUGUUAUGUUGGAGAUAGGCUACUGGGCUAGGUGGACCUUUGCUCUGAGCAGCAUGGCCUUUCUUAUGUUCUCUGUUCUUACAAGCUGUUGCAAGUUGAUUAAAGGUCAUCUUUCAGUCAGAAACCUCUGUGUGACACGUGCCAGCUCUCUAGGACCUGCAGCUAGGGUAGGAUUACCUGUGAUUUAUGACAGCUCUGGAAGUUAUAACUAGUGCUGUUAGUGCACAGAAGAACUGAAAGCAUGAAUAUGCUGUUUAGAAAGUAAACCCCUCCCCAAAAAAGAAAGGUAAAACUAAAACCUAAAAACUUCACUUUCUUUGACGUGUACUUUUGCU